rnacentral:rRNA from 1 species
UGGGGAAUAUUGCACAAUGGGCGCAAGCCUGAUGCAGCCAUGCCGCGUGUAUGAAGAAGGCCUUCGGGUUGUAAAGUACUUUCAGCGGGGAGGAAGGCGAUAAGGUUAAUAACCUUGUCGAUUGACGUUACCCGCAGAAGAAGCACCGGCUAACUCCGUGCCAGCAGCCGCGGUAAUACGGAGGGUGCAAGCGUUAAUCGGAAUUACUGGGCGUAAAGCGCACGCAGGCGGUCUGUCAAGUCGGAUGUGAAAUCCCCGGGCUCAACCUGGGAACUGCAUUCGAAACUGGCAGGCUAGAGUCUUGUAGAGGGGGGUAGAAUUCCAGGUGUAGCGGUGAAAUGCGGAGAGAUCUGGAGGAAUACCGGUGGCGAAGGCGGCCCCCUGGACAAAGACUGACGCUCAGGUGCGAAAGCGUGGGGAGCAAGCA